AGGAUGAACGCUGGCGGCGUGCCUAAUACAUGCAAGUCGAACGGUACUCUUUCGGGAGUACAGUGGCGAACGGGUGAGUAAUACAUAAGGAACCUGCCCUCGGGACCGGGAUAGCUGAUGGAAACGUCAGGUAAUAGCGGAUGUGAGUCAUUAUGGCAUCAUGAUGACUUGAAAGGAUGCAGCAAUGCAUCGCGCGGGGAUGGCCUUAUGGCGCAUUAGCCAGUUGGCGGGGUAACGGCCCACCAAAGCGAUGAUGCGUAGCCGAUCUGAGAGGACGACCGGCCACAUUGGGACUGAGACACGGCCCAGACUCCUACGGGAGGCAGCAGUAGGGAAUUUUCGGCAAUGGGCGCAAGCCUGACCGAGCAACGCCGCGUGAGUGUUAAGGCCUUCGGGUUGUAAAGCUCUGUCCUCAAGGAAGAUAAUGACGGUACUUGAGGAGGAAGCCCCGGCUAACUACGUG
rnacentral:rRNA from 1 species